GACGAACGCUGGCGGCGUGCCUAAUACAUGCAAGUCGAACGCAGUGGGGACGGGUGAGUAACACGUGGGUAACCUCCCAUCAGAGGGGAUAACACUUGGAAACAGGUGCUAAACCGAUACUGAUGGAUGGACCCGCGGUGCAUUAGCUAGUUGGUGAGGUAACGGCUCACCAAGGCCACGAUGCAUAGCCGACCUGAGAGGGUGUGCGGCCACACUGGGACUGAGACACUGCCCAGACUCCUACGGGAGGAAGCAGUAGGAAAUCUUCGGGAAUGGACGAAAGUCUAGCCGAGCAACGGCGCGAGAGAGAAGAAGGUUUUCGCAUCGUAAACCUCUGUUGUUCGAGAAGCGGUAUCUAACCCGAAAGCCACGGCUAACUACGUGCCAGCCGCCGCGGUAAUAC
rnacentral:rRNA from 1 species